rnacentral:lncRNA from 1 species
AUGGCAGGACAGGCGUUUAGAAAGUUUCUUCCACGAAAGUUUCUUCCACUCUUUGAGCGAGUACUGGUUGAAAGGAGCGCUGCUGAAACUGUAACCAGAGGAGGCAUUAUGCUUCCAGAAAAAUCUCAAGGAAAAGUAUUGCAAGCAAUAGUAGUCGCUGUUGGAUCGGGUUCUAAAGGAAAAGGUGGAGAGAUUCAACCAGUUAGCAUGAAAGUUGGAGAUAAAGUUCUUCUCCCAGAACAUGGAGGCACCAAAGUAAUUCUAGAUGACAAGGAUUAUUUCCUAUUUAGAGAUGGUGACAUUCUUGGAAAGUAUGUAGAC